rnacentral:misc_RNA from 1 species
UCUCCGUAGGUGAACCUGCGGAAGGAUCAUUCAUAAUAAGUGUUUUAUGGCACUUUUUUAAAUCCAUAUCCACCUUGUGUGCAAUGUCAGGGUUGAUUUUUCUCUCGAGAGGAUCAACCCCAAAUAUCAACUAUAUCUCAACUCCUUGUCUGAAAAAUAUUAUGAAUAAAACAAUUCAAAAUACAACUUUCAACAACGGAUCUCUUGGCUCUC